GUCGAGAAUCUUCCGCAAUGGGCGAAAGCCUGACGGAGCGACGUCGCGUGGAGGAUGAAGGCCUUCGGGUCGUAAACUCCUGUCAGUCCGGAAGAAAGUCUGUUCCGCGAACAGCGGGAUGGAUUGACAGUACGGGCAGAGGAAGCUCCGGCUAACUCCGUGCCAGCAGCCGCGGUAAUACGGAGGGAGCGAGCGUUGUUCGGAAUCAUUGGGCGUAAAGGGCAUGUAGGCGGCUUUGUAAGUCGGGUGUGAAAUCCCACUCCUUAAUAGUGGAAUGGCAUUCGAAACUGCAAGGCUCGAGUUCGGGGGAAGAAAGCGGAAUUCUCGGUGUAGCGGUGAAAUGCGUAGAUAUCGAGAAGAACACCGGUGGCGUAAGCGGCUUUCUAUCCCGAAACUGACGCUGAGAUGCGAAAGCCAGGGGAGCGAACGGGAUUAGAUACCCCAGUAGUCC
rnacentral:rRNA from 1 species